AUGGUGCAGCACUUCCCACUGUCUUGUUUCAAGUCAGUGAAAUUUACUAUGAAGGGGACUGUGUGGUUUUGGAAGAUGGCAAAGCCCAAUCCUAUGGAUGCAUAUAUCAUAAUCGUUGUGUUUGUAAGAAAAAAAGUGCUUAGUUGGAAUCUGUUUAACCAGCACAAGAAGAAACCUAGAAAUGAUGGAAUCAUAUUCUAGCAAGUCCUUUGCAGAAAGAGAAAUCUUGGAAUAAUCAAUGUCCCUAGAUUUUGAUUGAGACACUAAUUUACACCAGCUGAGGAUCUUGCCCUAGGUUUACUACUCUUAAUAUAAUUUACCUUUAUUUCUUCCUUCUUUCCUUUGGUCACAGAAAACUGUUAAUGAGUUUGUUAUGGAAGGAAACAGGACUUGGCCAUUCAAAGUGGGGAGCAGUUUAUGGGGAUAAACUUCACCCAUUUGGAACAUUCACCAGCCAGUCAGGGUGGUUAGUUCAAGUGACUGAGGAAUCUUAAUGAGAGCAAAUGUGUCAAGUGGUUAGAGAAAUGGAAAGGGUUCAAUUCCCUGCUCUGCCACUUUCUCAUGGCCUUAGGAAAAUUAUUUAAUUCUGUGCUUCAUCUUCAAAAUGGGGAUACAUUAUAUUAAUGCUAAACGCUGUAGAAACAUACCACAGAAAGGGACCUGCUGGCUCAAAAGGAGUAAAGGUCAUUUUGUUGUCCCGAGGAUCCGGCUAAGGUUGGAUUUUCCCAUCAGGGAAUAGGGAAACCUAUAAUGUGGGGUCUCCUUUUAGAGAGGAAGAAGUGGUUAAGGAGCUCCUGUCUGGAACAAUUCUUGUCACCCCAUCAGGUAGUGUGGUUGAUGCUCCUAAAUGAAGAUAGGUCACAGCCGGUUUGCUUCACCAAGUGGAAAGAUUGAUUUAACUCAUGUGACUAAACCUGGCUUCUGGAUAGUCAAAGUGGGAUAAUGAAGUUUCCUGCAGUGAUCCCUGAGGAAGGGGGUUGGGGCUUGGUAGAAAGGCCCAACUGGUAGUCUUGUUUUUCUUUCUGGAAGAAGGCAGGCCAGGCCAUGCAUCUUCUUCAGCAGCUCAGAGGAAGGGAGAGUAUCUCAGGGAAAGGGGGUUGUGUCCAUCUUAAGGCUGGGUGGUAGACUUUUUGGGUUUAUUUGGAAUUUUAUGUUAAUAAAACCAGACCCCAGGAAAGGGUUGUUGGACUU
rnacentral:lncRNA from 1 species